rnacentral:rRNA from 1 species
UACGGAGGGUGCAAACGUUGCUCGGAAUCAUUGGGCGUAAAGCGCACGUAGGCGGUUUGUUAAGUCGGGUGUGAAAGCCCUGGGCUCAACCCAGGAAGUGCACUCGAAACUGGCAGGCUUGAAUAUGGAAGAGGGUCGCGGAAUUCCCGGUGUAGAGGUGAAAUUCGUAGAGAUCAGGAAGAACAUCGGUGGCGAAGGCGCUCUGCUGGACCAUAACUGACACUCAGGGACGAAAGCUAGGGGAGCGAAUGGG